CCUACGGGGGGCUGCAGUGGGGAAUAUUGGGCAAUGGGCGCAAGCCUGACCCAGCAACGCCGUGUGAGGGAUGAAGGCCUUCGGGUCGUAAACCUCUGUCAGAAGGGAAGAAUGGGCACAGUUCGAAUAGGGCUGUGUUGUGACGGUACCUUCAGAGGAAGCACCGGCUAACUCCGUGCCAGCAGCCGCGGUAAUACGGAGGGUGCGAGCGUUAUUCGGAAUCACUGGGCGUAAAGGGCGCGUAGGCGGCCUGGUAAGUCAGGGGUGAAAUCCCACGGCUCAACCGUGGAAUUGCCUUUGAAACUGCUGGGCUUGGAUCCUGGAGAGGGUGGCGGAAUUCCUGGUGUAGGAGUGAAAUCCGUAGAUAUCAGGAGGAACACCGGUGGCGAAGGCGGCCACCUGGACAGGUAUCGACGCUGAGGCGCGAAAGUGUGGGGAGCAAACAGGAUUAGAUACCCUUGUAGUC
rnacentral:rRNA from 1 species